CUUCUGUCUGUUGGUUAUCUUCUGCGAUCCAUGGAUUCACAAGCUCUACGUGGUUGGCUGAGUUUCCAGUACCAGGCAUGAUUUCAUCCUUGCUGAGCAGAUAGAUCAAGAUGUAUAACUCUCCAUGACUUCUUCAACAGUAUGUCUGUCUGUGCACUGGUACAUUUCUCACCAUGAGGAUAAUGGACUAAACUUCUGAAACUCAUCAUUUGGUACUUCACUGUGACACCAUCUGUUCCAGCAAACUGGCCUCCUUGAAAACAAGAGCUAUGUUGAAGAAUGGCACUAGCUAUUUUGAAGAAUGAAAAGAUAUUGAAAGCUGAAAAGGAGAAGUACAAGAUCCCGGCUAUAAAGGCAGACAGUGUGACAGAAACAACAUGGU